GAUGAACGCUGGCGGCGUGCCUAAUACAUGCCAGUCGAGCGAACAGACGAGGAGCUUGCUCCUCUGACGUUAGCGGCGGACGGGUGAGUAACACGUGGAUAACCUACCUAUAAGACUGGGAUAACUUCGGGAAACCGGAGCUAAUACCGGAUAAUAUAUUGAACCGCAUGGUUCAAUAGUGAAAGACGGUUCUGCUGUCACUUAUAGAUGGAUCCGCGCCGCAUUAGCUAGUUGGUAAGGUAACGGCUUACCAAGGCAACGAUGCGUAGCCGACCUGAGAGGGUGAUCGGCCACACUGGAACUGAGACACGGUCCAGACUCCUACGGGAGGCAGCAGUAGGGAAUCUUCCGCAAUGGGCGAAAGCCUGACGGAGCAACGCCGCGUGAGUGAUGAAGGUCUUCGGAUCGUAAAACUCUGUUAUUAGGGAAGAACAAAUGUGUAAGUAACUAUGCACGUCUUGACGGUACCUAAUCAGAAAGCCACGGCUAACUACGUG
rnacentral:rRNA from 1 species